rnacentral:rRNA from 1 species
CCUACGGGAGGCAGCAGUGGGGAAUAUUGCACAAUGGGCGAAAGCCUGAUGCAGCGACGCCGCGUGAGGGAUGACGGCCUUCGGGUUGUAAACCUCUUUCAGCAGGGAAGAAGCGAAAGUGACGGUACCUGCAGAAGAAGCGCCGGCUAACUACGUGCCAGCAGCCGCGGUAAUACGUAGGGCGCAAGCGUUGUCCGGAAUUAUUGGGCGUAAAGAGCUCGUAGGCGGCUUGUCACGUCGGGUGUGAAAGCCCGGGGCUUAACCCCGGGUCUGCAUUCGAUACGGGCUAGCUAGAGUGUGGUAGGGGAGAUCGGAAUUCCCGGUGUAGCGGUGAAAUGCGCAGAUAUCAGGAGGAACACCGGUGGCGAAGGCGGAUCUCUGGGCCAUUACUGACGCUGAGGAGCGAAAGCGUGGGGAGCGAACAGGAUUAGAUACCCUGGUAGUCCACGCCGUAAACGGUGGGAACUAGGUGUUGGCGACAUUCCACGUCGUCGGUGCCGCAGCUAACGCAUUAAGUUCCCCGCCUGGGGAGUACGGCCGCAAGGCUAAAACUCAAAUGAAUUGACGGCUGAGACGNGCGAGACGACACGAGGAGAG